GCUGCGGAGUCGCGCUGGGAGUCCUGGGGCCCACGGUCGUCACAAAAGCGCCCUUGCUCCUUCUCCCGCUUCCUUCCUCCUGCCGGGUCCGCUCCGCUGACACCCAGGGACACUCGCCGGUCAGGUCCUUAGGACCUUAACUUUAUUCAUUCUUUUACACUUUCCAGCUCUCGCUUAACGAUGUACAGAGCUGUUGUUUUCAAAAUUUGAAUUAGUCUCAGGUUCAUGAAUAUCACCCAAGUUGGUGUUGUAUGUACGUUUUCGUGAUUUCUAAGCUGGAAAUGCGGCUGGAGCUGAGGACACUUUGCUUCUGCUUCUUGUUUGUGCAUGUUCAAGUUUGCAUUCGAGUGACGUUUGUUCGUGAACUUUGCUCCUUGUCUCUAGGAGCUAGCUUGCUAUCCUGUGGUUUUCCUAUUUUCAUUUUCUGUAUUAAAGUUCGUUCAGUCAGGUCGUUAUGUGUUCAAUCUUCACAAGUCAUUUCCAAUUUACCUGGUGAGGAAAAAACCAAUGGAGAGGUUAUGUCCACAUUUUUUUUUUAAGGUGGCCACUGCACUACUCUGACCUCUGUUUCCGUGAUCAUAUCUCCUCUGACUUUCCUGUCCCCUUCUUUCAUAAGGACACUUGUGAUGAUACUCUGGUUUCUCUUCGGAUUGAAGACGGAGACUUGUGAUUGCCUUGGGCCCAGCCAGAUAAUCCAGCCUAAUGUCCCCGUCUCAAAAUCCUUAGCUUAAGCAUACCUGCAAAACCUCAUUUGCCAUGUUAGGUAAUACAUUCACAGGUUCUGGGAAUCAGGACAUGGACUUCUGGGGAGCAGUGGGUGAUUAUCCUGUUCCUUUAAAUGAAAACCUAAGGAAA